rnacentral:lncRNA from 1 species
AAUAAAUAAAUAAAUAAUUUACUACUUUGUUAAGAGAAAUGGGCAACCCAUCAAAAAUUCCAAUCUUAUCCUUUUGCUUUAACAACAGUUUUACACCUUACUCAUACCAGCAAGGCCCUUUAUUUUACUUUUGACUUUUGAUAAAGACUCAAUCCCUAAACCAGAUAUAUAUUAAUAAAAGAAAAGGAAAAAAAAUUAUUCAGCUAUCAUGCAAUUUUCUUUGACACAGUCAAAAUCUAACACUGCUAUUAUUUCCUAACCCGUAGAUGCAAUGAUCAACAAGGUUACUGAUACCCAAUAACUUGUACAGUAAUUAAUUUGAAACAUUACACACACAUGACGGCAUAAAGAAACAAGAGUUUAAUUUUUCUGAGUUGUUGAUGGAUAGGUUUAUCUUGUCACUCAUCAUGUUUUUUAAAAAAAAUUAAAGUAUAUCUUGUUUUGUUACUUUCUUCCUUUUCUUUUUGUUACUCAUCAUGUUUUUCUAAUAUUUUAUUAUGGAGGCAGAACUAAGAAUUUUAGGGGGGGUAUUGUUUUUUAUACAUAAAAAAAAUUAUAAAAGUGAAUUAAUUACUUUCACAUUUUCAAACCCUAAAAAACUUAAUUUAAUUUAAUUUACUAACACCCAUCCAAACCCCAACACAAAAAUUAUAAGAUAAAAUUCAUAAACACGAUGAAUAAGAAAUAUCUUAAGUUAUUGUUUGGUUGUGUAAUUACAUAUAACAAUAGCUUUUCUCCUUUGCGUGGUACUAUAUAAAAAAUUAAAGCGCUAACUAACAUAUAGCUGGAGAGAUACUCGUAGGGGAAAAAAAUAUCAUCCAGUAAUUUGUUUUCCUUUUGUAAUGGUCAACAAAUUUUUGGGGUAAGCUUGCAUUUCUAGUUUUUUUUUUUUUAGGGGGAUUUUUCAUUUUAUACAUUUCAACCACGCUUGAAUUUUUGCAUUCAGAGGACUUUUUCUCGUAUUUCUUUUGGAUUCAAAUCAAAUUAAUAACUCAAGAAACCAAAUGCAAUUAACUCUAAAACUUUUUUUAAGUACGAUAUAAUAGCAUUCAAAUCUUGUAAUUGCUAGCUCAAUUUAUUUGUUUGAAAUGUUAUGACCAAAAUAUGACUCAAAUUUCAGACUAGCUAUUGAAUUUGUUUCCAAAAAAAAAAAUCAAUUCAAUUGUAAAAUUAAAUAAAAAAUUAAAAUAUCUUAUUUAUUUUUGUAAUAUAUAUUUAUCAUUACAAGUUUAAUAUCAUUUUAAUAUUUGUCUAGAUAAUAAACUAGUGGUAUUCAAUUAUAUUAUUAUCAUCUCAAUGAAUUAUAAAAGAGUUUAUAAUGAUAAAAAAAUUUAAUUAAUAAUCUAGUAUUUUUUCGAGUAGUUUAAAUUAUCAAUCUUCAUAUAUAAAAAAGUUAAUUUAAAAAAAUAUUAUUAUGGAAGUAUGAUAAUUAUUAUUUUAAAAUAUUUUUUAAAAAUAUACUUAUUUUGAAAUAACAUUAAAUUAACAUGUUUUUGUCAAAGAAACAUAAAACUCUUGUUUUUUUAUGCCAUUAGCAGUGGUAAUAAACAGAAAGAUUGAUUAUCUGUUUUCAUUUUUACAUACGCCUUGCAAGAAAUAAAACACCAAAAGGUUCAAAUCUUCUGCAUAUUUUAAGCAAAGCUGCCAUCUGGCCUGGAUCAUCUUUUAAUCUACAAGAAAAGUUGGAAAGAUUGAGUUUCACCUAGCAAGUACCUGAAAUUGUAAUUGUUUUUCGCUUUCUUAGUCUUCAUGUAAGUGAUUUUCCUUCUUCCUUUUUGUUGCGAUGUGUUAUAAUUCGAUGUUAUGAGAACUGAUUUUUUCUUUUUUUGUGAUUUUCUUAAGUGGACUAGGAUUUAAAUGCCUUAUAUUUGGUUUAAAUUUGAUUUUCUUAUUGUCUGUGCACUGUUUCCUAGAAAAUGUUGUCUGGAAACUGUUCACUGAGAUGAUCAUGGGAUUUUAUUUUCUCAACUGAGAAUGAAUUGUAAUAUGCAAUUGAAUGCUAGGAAAACAUCAACUCUGCAGAAAUAAGUAAAUUAUUUGAUAAAGUAGUUGUUAAAUGGGAUGGGAAAAAAUUAAGUGAAGCGAGGGGGGAAGCAAUUGGAAAAUUGAUCUUCGAUGGUUAAAGAAUAUGUUAGAGAACAAUUUGCUAUUAUUGUAUAAUUUGUAUUAGUAGAUACUUAUUAUAAAGAUCAGCCAUUAAGUUGCGAAGAAUAUAAUGCAAAAGUGAAUUUUGGAAAUCUCUCUUAAGGUAGAACUUGCUGAUAAACUUUUACUUGUUUUGGUUUAUUUUUAGCUAAUAAUAAGAGUCAAAUUAUGUUGUCUGCAAGUCUUUAACUUUGACUUUAACAUACUAAUCCUUAGAAACUAAGUAAUAAUAAUCAACAAAUGUUAUACACAUACAUACAUGUGUGUGUGUGUAAUGUUUCAAAUUAAUUAUUGUAUAAGUUAUUGGGUAUCAGUAGCCUUGUUGAGCAUUGCAUUUACGGGUUAGGAAAUAAUAGCAGUGUUUGAUUUUGACUGUCAGAGAAAAUUGCAUGAUAGCUGAAUAAUUUUUUACUUUUCCUUUUAUUAAUAUCUAUCUGUUUUAGGGAUUGAGUCUUUAUCAAGAGCCAAAAGUAAAACAAAGGGCCUUGCUGGUAUGAGCAAGGUGUAAAACUGUUGUUAAAACAAAAGGAUUAAGAUUGAAAUUUUUGAUGGGUUGCUCAUUCCUCCUGACAAAGCAGUAAAUCGUUUAUUUAUUUAUUUAUUUCGUGGUGUUUUUGUAGAAGUAUAAUGCAAGUGUUUUACCAUGUGCAUUGACAACUUUUCUUCAAUUGGAGUUUUGGUUUGUAGGGUAGAUUUCAUAUUUACAAUCCAAGAAAAAACCCACUCCAGGCAAAGUAUAUAUCGAGACCAACAUGGCAAAAGCAAAAAAAAAAAAAAGAAAAAACUAACAACAACUAGGAAGUCAAAAAAAUGGGGAAGAAGCAAAAACACAACAGUGACAGUGACGAAGAAGAAAUAUUUUACCACCGCUACUCCUCCUCCACCACGUCAUCACAACACCCACCUUCCUCCACCAAACCCCAUGGUGGAUCUGGCGGUUUAGCAUCAUCAAAAUCAACCCUGUACGUAUCCAAUUUGGACUUCUCCCUUACAAACUCAAACCUCUACACACUCUUCUCCACCUUUGGCAAAGUAGCAUGUGUAACCGUCUUAAAAGACCGAACGACACGGAAAUCGCACGGCGUCGCAUUCAUCCAAUUCAUAACUCGCAGCGAUGCAGUCACCGCCGUUGAACAGAUGGACAAGAAGAUUCUCAACGGGAGAACUCUGUUGGCGUCGAUUGCAGCAGAUAAUGGUAGAGCGGCGAAGUUUAUUAAGAAGAGGGUUUAUAAGGAUAAGAGUAAGUGUUAUGAGUGUGGAGAAGAUGGACAUUUGAGUUACGAGUGUCCGAGGAAUCGAUUGGGGAUUAGAGAGAGGCCUGUGGUGAAGAGAGGGAGGGGAGGCGGUGGUGGAGGAGGUGGCAGCGGAAGGGGCGGGGGAGAUUGGGAGGAGGAGGAAGAAGAGGGUGAGUUUGAGGAGGAGAAGUGGGUUGUGGCGGUGGAUGGAGGGGUUGAGGAGAGGUUGUUGAAGGCGGGAGCGGUUGAGAAAAAGAAGGUGAAGGUUAAGAAAGCUAGUUACUUCAAUGAUGAGAGUGAUGAAGAGGAGUGAUUUCUAGGAUUCUUUUUGGAGGUAAUGUUGAUUUUCUUGUUAUUAAAGUAUGAGUUUUGAUCAUGUUGGUGAAAAAAUUUGGAAUAAGUUUUGAGUUCUAAGACUUGACUCUAUAUUUUUGAUGUGAUGUUUAGUGAAUGUGUUCUUCCUUCUGGUCAUUAGGCUUGUUUUGGCUUGCUUGAGUUUGCAUUUAAGUUGGUUGUACAGUUCCUAUGAUGAUUGGCAUGUUUUGCUUUGUUUGAGUUUGGGUUUUUCGGUUAUGUUAAUUUGUUUUAAUGGAAGUUGGGUGUUUGUUGGAUUGUGUAAUUAAUUUGAUGUUUGAUUAAUAUGUAAUCUUCCUGUUUUUUUGUUUCAGUUACCGUGUUUUGGUGAGGGAGGGAAGGAGGUUAUAGCAUGUUAUUACUGAUACUGGAGAUUAUCUUCUUAGAGUUUAAAAAGAACACUGGCUAGUGUUAGUGAAAAACAAAGGAUUCGAUUUGAUCAUCUGUGAUUGAUAUGGCAUUUGUUGCGUCUUAGGUUUUUUUGUUAUGACUUGUGGAUGACAGUUGUGUUUUGUUUUUUUGAUGGAGGAGCUUCUUUAUGCUGGUUAGUGCUACUGAAACUAGUUUUGAGAUUAAUGUUCUUGGAUUGUGAGGGAAAUGCUGGUGAAUCAGCUGUGACAUUUUCUCCCCUGAUAUUCCAUGGAUAGAUGUUCAUUUUGAUAACAUUAGUUUCCAAGACAUUUAGCAGGCGGGGAGAAAAAGUUUCCCCCUUUUUUUGUGAUUGCUAUUAAAUACAUGAGAAUUGAUGGUUUUUGCUCUUUGCUUAGAGCUUUCUACCAACUUUCUUGUCUGGCAAGAGGUUGGGGGUGGUUCGUUCUUGCUGCAAAGUUGGAUAGAUGUUCAUUUUGAUAACAUUAGUUUCCAAGACAUUUAGCAAGCGGGUAGAAAAAGUUUACCCUUUUUUUGCGACUGCUAUUAAAUACAUGAGAAUUGAUGGUUUCUGCUCUUUGCUUAAAGCUUUCUACCAACUUUCUUGUCUGGCAAAAGGUUGGGGGUGGUUCGUUCUUGCUGCAAAGUUGGAGGAGGUGGCGGUGGCGGUGGCGGAAGGGGCAAGGGAGAUUGGGAGGAGGAGGAGGAGGAGGAGGAGGGUGAGUUUGAGGAGGAGAAAUGGGUUGCGGCGGUGGAUGAAGGGGUGGAGAAAAAGAAGGUGAAGGUUAAGAAAGCUAGUUACUUCAGUGAUGAGAGUGAUGAAGAGGAGUGAUUUCUGGGAUUCUUUUUGGAGGUAAUGUUGAUUUUCUUGUUAUUAAAGUGAGUUUUGAUCAUGUUGGUGAAAAAAAUUGGAAUAAGUUUUGAGUUCUAAGAUUUGUCUCUAUAUUUUUUAUGUGAUGUUUAGUGAAUGUGUUGCUCUUCCUUCUGGUCAUUAGGGCUUGUUUUGGUUUGCUUGAGUUUGCAUUUAAGUUGGUUGUACAGUUCAGAUGAUGAUUGCCAUGUUUUGCUUUGUUUGAGUUUAGGUUUUUUGGUUAUGUUAAUUUGUUUUAAUGAAAGAUUGGGUGUUUGUUGGAUUGUGUAAUUGAUUUGAUGUUUGAUUAAUAUGUAAUCUUACUGUAUUUUUUUCAUCAAAGGCUCAUAUCAUCUUUAUUUUAUAAUUACAUGGAAGUUUCAUGUCAACAUAACUCCGUCAACUUCCGAUCUAAUAAUUCUACUCAAGAUUUUGAAUUAUAAAUAUGAAAUCUAUUCUACAAACCAAAACUCCAACUGAACAACAGUUGUCAAUGCACAUGGUAAAACACUUGCAUUAUACUUCUACAAAAACACCACAAAAUAAAUAAAUAAACGACUUACUGCUUUGUCAGGAGGAACGGGCAACCCAUCAAAAAUUCUCAUCUUAAUCCUUUUGCUUUAACAAUAGUUUUCCUAGCUCAUCCAGCAAGGCCCUUUGUUUUUCUUUUGGCUCUUGAUAAAGACUCAAUCCUUAAAACAAAUAGAUAUUAAUAAAAGGAAAAGAAAAAAAUCAUUCAGCUAUCAUGUAAUUUUCUCUGACACAGUCAAAAUCAAACACUGCUAUUAUUUCCUACAAAGUUGUCAAAAACGCUUUUUUGACACAACACGGAAUAUACAAUAUAAACUCGGAUCGUAAACUCAAAUCGUAAAAUCGCAAGUAAAAUAUUUUAACCAAAAUCGUAAAAUCGCAAGUAAAAUAUUUUAUCUAAUUUGCAAGAUCCAAUCAAGUAAUAUAUAAUAAUAUAACACAAUUAAAAUAAAAGUGAAAUUUAACUAAAUUGCAAGAUCUAGUCAUGUGGGUUAAAAUUGCUUCGUUUCUUUCCAGGUCACCGGUCUUUAUUCAGAUUCUAAAGAUGAACAAGUCCAAGUGGAUUGGAUAGAAAGAUGCUCUUAAUUAAUAACAUUUUGUUUUACCUGUUGAUAUAAUUAUGUAAAGCUGCACAUCACAAACUGCCUAACAUCAUCGUUCUAAUUGUUCAGUAAUUUUCAAUAGAAGUUUAGUCCUGAAAGUGUGUGACGGUUUUGCAUGAAACACAUAGCUAAACAACAAAGAAAUAUAAUCAUGAAACAACUGAUAAAAUGGGACCCUCUGAUUGUUUAGGAAUAUAAUCAGUAUCUUUGUUCUGUUUCCCAGUUUUUCAAAUAGCAUAUUGCUGGCUAGGGUCUGCAUCAUAUUUCUUGUUCCUCAGCUCGCCCAAUUAAAUUUUAUGUGAUGAAAGACUGUUGAGAAAUGACUGCUAAUUGGAUCAAAUUUCUGAUUUUUCUAUGCAGUGAUGAACUGGGUCGUUUUGUUGCUACUAAACAUCGCCUAAGAAGCCUUAAGAUGGAAGGGUGUUCUAAUCUGGGGGAAAAAUAUGCUUAUAUGCUUAUAGAGAAGACAACCCUAGCUAGUCAAAACACACACACACUGGUUUGAUUCUAGGUCAGCAGCAGCAGGAGCUUAAAUUGAACACGCAAACUAAAAGCUAUUGCUUUUGCUAUGCUAUGCUAUGUUAUCCAGUUAUCCUAGUGAUCAUCUUAUCAGUGUCAGCUAUAAAAAGGGAUCCAUGCAUCCAGCUGCUAAAAGCUUAUUUUGGAAUCUUUCUACCUUUCUGCUAAAUUACAUAACCCUGAUUAAGAAGGUAUAUACUAAUUAAUUAGAUAGCCAUGUCAGCUGGACUAGUUUCAUAUGAGAUUGUAUUUUGUAAUUAAAUCUUUCAUGCAAGAUUUCUAAAAACUGUUGUUGAAUAUAUGUGAUUGCAGGGAUGAUAACUUUUUCAUAUUCCUAAUUUUCCUCCUUUGUGCUAAACAGAUAAUUCAAUGGAAAGGGAUAAUGGAAUGUAGCAGAACGCAAGUUACUAAUGGGAUUUUUUAAAGAUUAUUUGUCAUAUAAAACAACAGAUAGAGACGAUUAACAACAACAUGUAUUUGCCAGAGAUGCUGGCGUGAUGUUUUACAAAUGAUAGGAGUCAUAUGACCAUUAACAACAACAACACUGUAUACAGCCAGAAAAAAAACAUGCCCUCUUCUGCAUAAUAAAAUGACAGAAAAGAUGAGAAUCUAACAAGCAAACCUGGUUAUAUAUUUGCGCUGCUAGUUAGUGGAGAGUCGAGACUUGAGAUUCUACGCUCCUGAAUGUGCUGAAUGCUGAUAUUAAUUUGUUAGGGCUGAGACUUGAGAUUUUGAGAAUUUGAGAUUUGGGGAAACCAGGAAAGGGGAAAGGGAAAAGGAGAAAAGGGUGGGUGGAGUGUCGGUGUCGGGCGCAAUGAAAUCAGGAGAUGGAGUGGAGUCAGCAGACUUUUAAUUUUCUAAGCAAACUCGUGCAAUCGGUCCG